UACGUAGGCAGCGAGCGUUGUUCGGAAUUACUGGGCGUAAAGAGUGUGUAGGCGGUGCUCUAAGUUCGGUGUGAAAUCUCCCGCUUAACUGGGAGGGUGCGCCGGAAACUGGAGUGCUCGAGCGUGGGAGAGGAAAGCGGAAUUCCUGGUGUAGCGGUGAAAUGCGUAGAUAUCAGGAGGAACACCUGCGGUGUAGACGGCUUUCUGGACCAUUGCUGACGCUGAGACACGAAAAGCGUGGGUAGCAAACAGG
rnacentral:rRNA from 1 species